CAGGACGAACGCUGGCGGCGUGCCUAAUACAUGCAAGUCGAACGGUCUUUUCUAUGGAAGCUUGCUUCCACUGAAAAGAUAGUGGCGAACGGGUGAGUAACACGUGGGUAACCUGCCCAUAAGAGGGGGAUAACAUCCGGAAACGGGUGCUAAUACCGCAUAGUUUUCUUGAUCGCAUGAUCGGGAAAGGAAAGACGGCCUUUGUGCUGUCGCUUAUGGAUGGACCCGCGGCGUAUUAGUUAGUUGGUGAGGUAACGGCUCACCAAGACGAUGAUACGUAGCCGACCUGAGAGGGUGAUCGGCCACAUUGGGACUGAGACACGGCCCAAACUCCUACGGGAGGCAGCAGUAGGGAAUCUCCCGCAAUGGACGAAAGUCUGACGGAGCAACGCCGCGUGAGUGAAGAAAGGUUUUCGGAUCGUAAAACUCUGUUGUCAGAGAAGAACAAGUUGGAGAGUAACUGCUCCAGCCUUGACGGUAUCUGACCAGAAAGCCACGGCUAACUACGUGCCAGCCGCUGC
rnacentral:rRNA from 1 species